rnacentral:lncRNA from 1 species
AGCCUUACAUAGGGAUUAGAAGAUGAUUCUUUACAAAAAUAUCAAACUCUAUAUGCUUAUUUUACAUAAAAUAUCAAAGCCUUAGCAUGAAGUUCUUCAAUAAAAUAUGCUUAUUUUACAUGUGAUGUGAUGAUGAUGGAUAAUUAUAUUCAUCGACAUAAGGUUUCGUUUGGUGGCAAGAAUAAGAGAUAUUGGUAUCAUAUGUUGCUUUACUAAGUGUGUGAUAAAACUGUUGAUAUUUUACCUGUAAGAGUUUCAUAUUAAAUGGAAAAAGUGAAAUUUGAAGGUUUUGGAUUAAAAUGUUGUAUAAAUUCAUUUAUGUGAUUGUUUAAGGUUCAAUGUGAUGAUCAUCAGACCUCUUUGUUGUGAAAUAACAGAGCUGAAGAAGAAAAA